rnacentral:rRNA from 1 species
UACAGAGGUCUCGAGCGUUAGGCGGAAUCACUGGGCUUAAAGCGUGUGUAGGUGGAUCGUUAAGUACCUUGUGAAAUCCCCCGGCUUAACCUGGGAACUGCGUCUGAUACUGGAAGGCUUGAGUGCGGGAGAGGGAUGUGGAAUUCCAGGUGUAGCGGUGAAAUGCGUAGAUAUCUGGAGGAACACCGGUGGCGAAGGCGGCAUCCUGGACCGACACUGACGCUGAGGCGCGAAAGCUAGGGUAGCAAACGGG